UUAUAUAUAUAUUAUAUAUCUAUCUCUAUAUACGUCACUGGACUUGUGUUUGUCCUCACUCUCAACGUGUAGUUCUACUUCCUCUCUGUCGGGACGCUAGUUAACACCACACUCAACAGCAGACUGGAGCUGCUGUUGUCUGAAACACAAGCUGUUUCUCAAUGUCAAGGAAAGGAUCCUUUGAAGCCAGAAUUUGGAGGAUGCUACGUCAUCGACGUCCGUCGAAGGACCGUUCCAAUGUCGAGGAUCCUCCGAAUCCCACCAAGGACUGAGUCCUUCGUUCGGAGAAUUUCCCAUAGACGGCAAAGGAUGCAUAUGUGUAUCCUUCGCGCUCCCAAAUCACCCACAAUCCUUUGCGCGCGGCUUUGUUGGCUUGUUUUAAAAAAUUAAAUGGUGGACCUAAGCGGGAGUUGGAGCGGUAUCGCUGACGGCGAAAUAAUCAUUUAAAUGGACAAACGGAGGCUGUCACUGAGGAUGGGAAAGCAAAAGACAAGCAGGGAGACAAGAGGCCAAAGAGAGAUGAAUAGCUAGAUUAUUUGCUAAAGCCUUUUAGAGAUUGGCAUUCUGAAAAUAAAUGCAUUAAAUUUA